rnacentral:rRNA from 1 species
CAGCAGCCGCGGUAAUACGUAGGGUGCAAGCGUUAAUCGGAAUUACUGGGCGUAAAGCGUGCGCAGGCGGUUAUAUAAGACAGAUGUGAAAUCCCCGGGCUCAACCUGGGAACUGCAUUUGUGACUGUAUAGCUAGAGUACGGCAGAGGGGGAUGGAAUUCCGAGUGUAGCAGUGAAAUGCGUAGAUAUGCGGAGGAACACCGAUGGCGAAGGCAAUCCCCUGGGCCUGUACUGACGCUCAUGCACGAAAGCGUGGGGAGCAAACAGGAUUAGAUACCCCCGUAGUCCCUGUCUCUUAUAC